rnacentral:rRNA from 1 species
UGGGGAAUAUUGCACAAUGGGCGCAAGCCUGAUGCAGCCAUGCCGCGUGUAUGAAGAAGGCCUUCGGGUUGUAAAGUACUUUCAGCGAGGAGGAAGGCGUUGUGGUUAAUAACCGCAACGAUUGACGUUACUCGCAGAAGAAGCACCGGCUAACUCCGUGCCAGCAGCCGCGGUAAUACGGAGGGUGCAAGCGUUAAUCGGAAUUACUGGGCGUAAAGCGCACGCAGGCGGUCUGUCAAGUCGGAUGUGAAAUCCCCGGGGUCAACCUGGGAACUGCAUCCGAAACUGGCAGGCUAGAGUCUUGUAGAGGGGGGUAGAAUUCCAGGUGUAGCGGUGAAAUGCGUAGAGAUCUGGAGGAAUACCGGUGGCGAAGGCGGCCCCCUGGACAAAGACUGACGCUCAGGUGCGAAAGCGUGGGGAGCAAACA